GUGCUCGCUUCGGCAGCACAUAUACUAAAAUUGGAAUGAUACAGAGAAGAUUAGCAUGGCCCCUGCACAAGAAUGAUCAUUAAGUAUAAUGGUAGCUAUAGAUACAU